GACGAACGCUGGCGGCGUGCUUAACACAUGCAAGUCGAACGAUGAACUUGGAGCUUGCUCUGGGGGAUUAGUGGCGAACGGGUGAGUAACACGUGAGUAACCUGCCCUGGACUCUGGGAUAACUUCGAGAAAUCGGAGCUAAUACCGGAUAGGACCUUGCACCGCAUGGUGUGGGGUGGAAAGUUUUUCGGUUUGGGAUGGACUCGCGGCCUAUCAGCUUGUUGUUGAGGUAAUGGCUCACCAAGGCGUCGACGGGUAGCCGGCCUGAGAGGGUGACCGGCCACACUGGGACUGAGUCACGGCCCAGACUCCUACGGGAGGCAGCAGUGGGGAAUAUUGCACAAUGGGCGCAAGCCUGAUGCAGCAACGCCGCGUGCGGGAUGACGGCCUUCGGGUUGUAAACCCCUUUCAGCAGGGAAGAAGCGCAAGUGACGGUACCUGCAGAAGAAGCACCGGCUAACUACGUGCCAGCCGCCGCAGUAACAC
rnacentral:rRNA from 1 species